CAUACCAUGGUCAUCAUCUAUGGAGAUCAUUGAUCCACGUAAAGGUAUGGAAAUCAGAUCUUCUGUUUGUAUUUAUAUUUCUAAUAAUCAAAAUUUUCAGACUGAAUGUUUCAUGUUCAUUGAUCCUUGAUCUGAUGCAUGUCUAGAUUAAAAUAAUUUUAAUCAAAGUUUUUAUUUCAUUGCAAUUAAAUCUGAAAAUUUUAAAAAAAUACAUA
rnacentral:lncRNA from 1 species